AUUGAACGCUGGCGGCAGGCCUAACACAUGCAAGUCGAGCGAGCGGCGGACGGGUGAGUAAUGUCUGGGAAACUGCCUGAUGGAGGGGGAUAACUACUGGAAACGGUAGCUAAUACCGCAUACCAUCAGAUGUGCCCCGAUGGGAUUAGCUAGUGGGUGGGGUAACGGCUCACCUAGGCGAAGAUCCAUAGCUGGUCUGAGCGGAGGACCAGCCACACGUGAACUGUGACACGGUCCAGACGCCUACGGGAGGCAGCCGUGGGGAAUAUUGCAAAAUGGGCGCAAGCCUGAUGCAGCCAUGCCGCGUGUGUGAAGAAGGCCUUCGGGUUGUAAAGCACUUUCAGCGGGGAGGCGUUACCCGCAGAAGAAGCACCGGCUAACUCCGUGCCAGCAGCCGCGGUAAUUC
rnacentral:rRNA from 1 species